rnacentral:rRNA from 1 species
GGGCCCGCACAAGCGGUGGAGCAUGUGGUUUAAUUCGAUGCAACGCGAAAAACCUUACCUACUCUUGACAUCCUUGGAAUGCCUUAGAAAUAAGGCAGUGCCUUCGGGAGCCAAGUGACAGGUGCUGCAUGGCUGUCGUCAGCUCGUGUCGUGAGAUGUUGGGUUAAGUCCCGUAACGAGCGAAACCCCUUUUCUUUGUUGCCAGCACGUAAUGGUGGGGACUCUAAGAAGACUGCCGGUGUUAAAUCGGAGGAAGGUGGGGACGAUGUCAAGUCAUCAUGGCCCUUACGAGUAGGGCUACACACGUGCUACAAUGGGCAGUACAGAGGGUUGCGAAGUCGCGAGGCCAAGCUAAUCUCAGAAAGCUGCUCUCAGUCCGGAUUGGAGUCUGCAACUCGACUCCAUGAAGUCGGAAUCGCUAGUAA